rnacentral:miRNA from 1 species
UGAGGUAGGAGGUUGUGUG